GAAACUCGCCUACAUGAAGCUGGAGUUACUAGUAAUCGCAGAUCAGAAUGCUGCGGUGAAUGCGUUCCCGGGUCUUGUACACACCGCCCGUCACACCACGGAAGUUGGGGCGCCCGAAGCCACUUAGCUAACCCUUUUGGGAAGCGAGUGUCGAAGGUGAAAUCAAUAACUGGGGUGAAGUCGUAACAAGGUAGC
rnacentral:rRNA from 1 species